ACCCUCUCAGCAUCGCACCUGGAGAGUUUCCAGAACUCUACCAGUCUCAGUUACGAGAGGGAGAAUCAAGCAGAGGCCUACCUACUCCAUUCCUAGCUUGGGCAGUGGCUAGUGAGUGGAAAGCAAUCGGCUACAAGU